rnacentral:rRNA from 1 species
UACGUAGGGUGCAAGCGUUUGUCCGGAAUUAUUGGGCGUAAAGAGCUCGUAGGCGGUCUGUCGCGUCUGCUGUGAAAACUCAGGGCUUAACCCUGAGCUUGCAGUGGGUACGGGCAGACUAGAGUUUGGUAGGGGAGUGUGGAAUUCCUGGUGGAGCGGUGAAAUGCGCAGAUAUCAGGAGGAACACCCGUAGCGAAGGCGGCACUCUGGGCCGGAACUGACGCUGAGGAGCGAAAGCGUGGGGAGCGAACAGG